GUCCAAGGUGAUUUCUUCUCCAAGGGGCUAACUAGUUCCCCCUUUAGGAACAUAGAAACUUGGAAGAAAACCUGGUAUGCCUGAGGUCUCUGGGGAACAAGAGAUGGCCUUUGCCUUCCUUGGCUGUUUACAUGU